UCUUUAUUAUUUAAUUAAAAAUUUAUUUAUUUAUUUGAUUAAUUUGGUUAAAUAAUUUUAUUGGGGUGAUAAGAAAAUUUUAUAAACUUUUCAAAUUUUUUACAAUUAUAAUUGAAUAUUUGAGCUAAAAUUUUUAAUUUUAAGGAAAGU
rnacentral:rRNA from 1 species